rnacentral:misc_RNA from 1 species
AAGUCGUAACAAGGUAACCGUAGGUGAACCUGCGGUUGGAUCAUUAAAAAGAUCUAGCCCGAACUUGGACGAGGUCUUUGAAGACCUCGUUCGAUGCCGGGUUUUCUCACCUAAAAAGUGAGUUAACAUUAUGUGAACUGUUCUGUCUCUGGCGGUGGGGUGGUGUCAAAACCACCUGUCAGCAUCCGAGUUCUCUCGGUGUGCCGUGGACAAGCCGUCAAUGGUGUAUGUUUCAUACAAACUUUUGUUUCAUCAAUCUGUCUGACAUACCUUUGUAUCUAAAAUAUACAAAAACAACUUUUGGCAACGGAUCUCUUGGCUCCC